UCGCUUCCGCAGCACAUACACUAACAUUGGAACAGAACAGAGAAGACUGGCAUGGCCCCUGCGCAAGGAGGACACACAAAUUCCCGACGUGUUCCACACUUUU